UAGGGAAUCUUCGGCAAUGGGGGGAACCCUGACCGAGCAACGCCGCGUGAGUGAAGAAGGUGUUCGGAUCGUAAAGCUCUGUUGUUAAGGAAGAACGAGUGUGAGAAUGGAAAGUUCAUACUGUGACGGUACUUAACCAGAAAGGGACGGCUAACUACGUGCCAGCAGCCGCGGUAAUACGUAGGUCCCGAGCGUUGUCCGGAUUUAUUGGGCGUAAAGCGAGCGCAGGCGGUUAGAUAAGUCUGAAGUUAAAGGCAGUGGCUCAACCAUUGUAGGCUUUGGAAACUGUUUAACUUGGGUGCAGAAGGGGAGAGUGGAAUUCCAUGUGUCGCGGUGAAAUGCGUAGAUAUAUGGAGGAAUACCGGUGGCGAAAGCGGCUCUCUGGUCUGUAACUGACGCUGAGGCUCGAAAGCGUGGGGAGCGAACAGG
rnacentral:rRNA from 1 species